GCUGAGGAUGAACGCUGGCGGCGUGCUUAACACAUGCAAGUCGAACGAUGAUCUCCAGCUUGCUGGGGGGAUUAGUGGCGAACGGGUGAGUAACACGUGAGUAACCUGCCCUUGACUCUGGGAUAAGCCUGGGAAACUGGGUCUAAUACCGGAUAUGACCAUCUGGCGCAUGUCAUGGUGGUGGAAAGCUUUUUUGUGGUUUUGGAUGGACUCGCGGCCUAUCAGCUUGUUGGUGGGGUAAUGGCCUACCAAGGCGACGACGGGUAGCCGGCCUGAGAGGGUGACCGGCCACACUGGGACUGAGACACGGCCCAGACUCCUACGGGAGGCAGCAGUGGGGAAUAUUGCACAAUGGGCGCAAGCCUGAUGCAGCGACGCCGCGUGAGGGAUGACGGCCUUCGGGUUGUAAACCUCUUUCAGUAGGGAAGAAGCGUAAGUGACGGUACCUGCAGAAGAAGCGCCGGCUAACUACGUGCCAGCAGCCGCGGUAAUACGUAGGGCGCAAGCGUUAUCCGGAAUUAUUGGGCGUAAAGAGCUCGUAGGCGGUUUGUCGCGUCUGCUGUGAAAGACCGGGGCUCAACUCCGGUUCUGCAGUGGGUACGGGCAGACUAGAGUGCAGUAGGGGAGACUG
rnacentral:rRNA from 1 species